rnacentral:rRNA from 1 species
GCGGGAAGAAGCUUGCUUCUUUGCCGGCGAGCGGCGGACGGGUGAGUAACGUCUGGGGAUCUGCCCGAUGGAGGGGGAUAACUACUGGAAACGGUAGCUAAUACCGCAUAACGUCGCAAGACCAAAGUGGGGGACCUUCGGGCCUCACACCAUCGGAUGAACCCAGAUGGGAUUAGCUAGUAGGCGGGGUAAUGGCCCACCUAGGCGACGAUCCCUAGCUGGUCUGAGAGGAUGACCAGCCACACUGGAACUGAGACACGGUCCAGACUCCUACGGGAGGCAGCAGUGGGGAAUAUUGCACAAUGGGGGAAACCCUGAUGCAGCCAUGCCGCGUGUGUGAAGAAGGCCUUCGGGUUGUAAAGCACUUUCAGCGGGGAGGAAGGGGAUAAGGUUAAUAGCCUUAUUCAUUGACGUUACCCGCAGAAGAAGCACCGGCUAACUCCGUGCCAGCAGCCGCGGUAAUACGGAGGGUGCAAGCGUUAAUCGGAAUGACUGGGCGUAAAGCGCACGCAGGCGGUCUGUUAAGUUGGAUGUGAAAUCCCCGGGCUUAACCUGGGAACUGCAUUCAAGACUGGCAGGCUAGAGUCUCGUAGAGGGGGGUAGAAUUCCAGGUGUAGCGGUGAAAUGCGUAGAGAUCUGGAGGAAUACCGGUGGCGAAGGCGGCCCCCUGGACGAAGACUGACGCUCAGGUGCGAAAGCGUGGGGAGCAAACAGGAUUAGAUACCCUGGUAGUCCACGCCGUAAACGAUGUCGACUUGGAGGCUGUGGUCUUGAACCGUGGCUUCCGGAGCUAACGCGUUAAGUCGACCGCCUGGGGAGUACGGCCGCAAGGUUAAAACUCAAAUGAAUUGACGGGGGCCCGCACAAGCGGUGGAGCAUGUGGUUUAAUUCGAUGCAACGCGAAGAACCUUACCUACUCUUGACAUCCACAGAAUUUUGCAGAGAUGCGUUAGUGCCUUCGGGAACUGUGAGACAGGUGCUGCAUGGCAGUCGUCAGCUCGUGUUGUGAAAUGUUGGGUUAAGUCCCGCAACGAGCGCAACCCUUAUCCUUUGUUGCCAGCGAUUUGGUCGGGAACUCAAAGGAGACUGCCGGUGAUAAACCGGAGGAAGGUGGGGAUGACGUCAAGUCAUCAUGGCCCUUACGAGUAGGGCUACACACGUGCUACAAUGGCGCAUACAAAGAGAAGCGACCUCGCGAGAGCAAGCGGACCUCAUAAAGUGCGUCGUAGUCCGGAUUGGAGUCUGCAACUCGACUCCAUGAAGUCGGAAUCGCUAGUAAUCGUAGAUCAGAAUGCUACGGUGAAUACGUUCCCGGGCCUUGUACACACCGCCCGUCACACCAUGGGAGUGGGUUGCAAAAGAAGUAGGUAGCUUAACCUUCGGGGGGGCGCUUA